GGCACUAGCAGCUGGCACUUUUAAUCUAUGCUAUGAAAUAAAUGGUCCAACAGAAUCUCCUAGUCAACUUAUCUGCCAGAGAUGUCAGUGCACUCUCGAGGGUGCAGGGAAGGAAUCUAGUGAGGAACCUGCUAAGCAAAUCUCUGGAUGUAUGACCGUUGGAGCUAGUGAAAAUAGCACUAGCUGUGCUGCUAAUGGUUAUAACAAUAGCGGUCCCCCUGUCUUGAAAUUCAACAAGACAUCAAAAUCUAGGGAGCAAGGCGAAUUUUCUCAGAGCUCAAAGAGUAGUAUUGGCGAUUAUAGUACUAGCACAACCAUCAGUGAAGAGAGCAACCUAAGCGGCUCUUUUUCGGGGAACAGACCACACAUGUCCA
rnacentral:misc_RNA from 1 species